AACGAACGCUGGCGGCAUGCCUAACACAUGCAAGUCGAACGAUGCCUUCGGGCAUAGUGGCGCACGGGUGCGUAACGCGUGGGAAUCUGCCUUUCGGUUCGGAAUAACUCAGGGAAACUUGAGCUAAUACCGGAUAACGUCGCAAGACCAAAGAUUUAUCACCGAAAGAUGAGCCCGCGUAUGAUUAGCUAGUUGGUGAGGUAAAGGCUCACCAAGGCGACGAUGGUUAGCUGGUCUGAGAGGAUGAUCAGCCACACUGGGACUGAGACACGGCGCAGACGCCUACGGGCGGCGGCAGUGGGGAAUAUGGCACAAUGGGCAGAGGCCGGAAGCAGCAACCCCGCAUGCGGGAUGACGGCCUUCGGGUUGUAGGCUGCUAACGCCUUUUACGAAGCGAGAAUGACGGUGAUGGGGGAAGAAGCACCCGCGAACUACGUG
rnacentral:rRNA from 1 species